ACCCGCUGAAUUUAAGCAUAUCAAUAAGCGGAGGAAAAGAAACCAACAGGGAUUGCCCUAGUAACGGCGAGUGAAGCGGCAACAGCUCAAAUUUGAAAUCUGGCGUCUUUGGCGUCCGAGCUGUAAUUUGCAGAGGGCGCUUUGGCGUUGGGAGCGGUCCAAGUUCUUUGGAACAGGACGUCACAGAGGGUGAGAAUCCCGUACGUGGUCGCUAUCCUUCGCCGUGUAAAGCCCCUUCGACGAGUCGAGUUGUUUGGGAAUGCAGCUCUAAAUGGGAGGUAAAUUUCUUCUAAAGCUAAAUACUGGCCAGAGACCGAUAGCGCACAAGUAGAGUGAUCGAAAGAUGAAAAGCACUUUGGAAAGAGAGUCAAAUAGCACGUGAAAUUGUUGAAAGGGAAGCGCUUGCAGCCAGACUUGCCUGUAGUUGCUUAUCUGGACUUUUGUCCAGUGCACUCUUCUGCGGGCAGGCCAGCAUCAGUUUGGGCGGUUGGAUAAAGGUCUCUGUCAUGUACCUCCUUUCGGGGAGGCCUUAUAGGGGAGACGACAUGCAACCAGCCUGGACUGAGGUCCGCGCAUCUGCUAGGAUGCUGGCGUAAUGGCUGUAGCGGUCCGUCUUGAAACACGGACCAAGGAG
rnacentral:rRNA from 1 species